AUGUCUACCUGUCUCACUGAUCUGAUCAAUGCCAAUGAGGUGGAUUUCAUUGGGUUGCAGGAAACAAUGAAGAGUAGUUAUACUCCUUCUUUUUUUAGAAAAUUAGAUCCACACCAAAGAUUUAUGUGGGAAUGGAACCCUUCUAGGGGGAAAUCUGGGGGAAUCCUUUGUGGGGUCAAUAAGGAUAAGUUCGACAUCAUGGAAGUGGAACAUGGGAGAUACAUUUUGCAAGUUAAACUCUUUGAUAAGAGCAGAAGUUGCAAUUGGGUGCUGAUGGUAGUUUAUGGGGCGGCUCAGGAUGAGAAUAAACCAGAAUUUAUAGCAGAGAUGUCAUCUAUGUGCCAUAAAAUCUCUGUUCCUUAUAUAGUUGGAGGGGACUUUAACAUCAUUCGUCACAGUGGAGAGAAGAACAAAAGAACCCCUUUAUCUCAUUUCUCUGAUGUCUUUAACUCAGUUAUACACCUGCUGGGGCUGAGAGAGAUUCAUAUGUCAGGUGGCUGUUACACCUGGUCGAACAAACAGGAACACCCUACCCUGGAACAGCUGGAUAGAGUUUUAAUGUCUUCAGACUGGGAAGAUCUUUAUCCCCUUGUCUCUGUUAAAAAGCUAGUUAAGGAGAUCUCUGACCAUAAUCCCUUACUAUUG
rnacentral:rRNA from 1 species